rnacentral:tRNA from 1 species
AUUUGAUAACCAUACAUUGGGUCUGUGUUUCGGCCACAGCUGUGGGAAUAAAUUUCUCUAUCAAAUG